rnacentral:lncRNA from 1 species
UUUCACCCUUUUUGUUUCUUUUGACGUCUCAGCGUCUCUUUCACCCUUUUUGUUUCUUUUGACGUCUCAGCGUCUCUUCCAACCUUUUUGUUUCUUUUGACGUCUCAGCGUCUCUUUCAACCUUUUUGUUUCUUUUGACGUCUCAGCGUCUCUUUUUGUUUGUGUGAUAACUAUUAGGCUCGAGUCAGUCUCCCUUUUAGUUUGUUUGUUCUUUCCUCUGUUAAGGGGAACUACGUCGCCCUGAUU